GUCCCUACGGGAGGCAGCAGUAGGGAACCUUCCACAAUGGGCGAAAGCCUGAUGGAGCAACGCCGCGUGGGUGAAGAAGGUCUUCGGAUCGUAAAACCCUGUUGUUAGAGAAGAAAGUGCGUGAGAGUAACUGUUCACGUUUCGACGGUAUCUAACCAGAAAGCCACGGCUAACUACGUGCCAACAGCCGCGGUAAUACGUCUGUGGCGAGCGUUAUCCGGAUUUAUUGGGCUUAAAGGAAACGCAGUCGUUCUUUU
rnacentral:rRNA from 1 species